GAUGAAGAACGCAGCGAAAUGCGAUAAGUAAUGUGAAUUGCAGAAUUCAGUGAAUCAUCGAAUCUUUGAACGCACCUUGCGCUCCUUGGUAUUCCGAGGAGCAUGCCUGUUUGAGUGUCAUUAAAUUUUCAACCUCACCAGUUUUGUAAUGAGACUGUGUA
rnacentral:rRNA from 2 species